AUUGAACGCUGGCGGCAGGCUUAACACAUGCAAGUCGAGCGGAGAUGAGGUGCUUGCACCUUAUCUUAGCGGCGGACGGGUGAGUAAUGCUUAGGAAUCUGCCUAUUAGUGGGGGACAACAUUCCGAAAGGAAUGCUAAUACCGCAUACGCCCUACGGGGGAAAGCAGGGGAUCUUCGGACCUUGCGCUAAUAGAUGAGCCUAAGUCGGAUUAGCUAGGUGGUUGGGUAAAGGCCUACCAAGGCGACGAUCUGUAGGGGGUUUGAGAGGAUGAUCCGCCACACUGGGACUGAGACCCGGCCCAGACUCCUACGGGAGGCAGCAGUGGGGAAUAUUGGACAAUGGGCGGAAGCCUGAUCCAGCCAUGCCGCGUGUGUGAAGAAGGCCUUUUGGUUGUAAAGCACUUUAAGCGAGGAGGAGGCUACCUGGAUUAAUACUCUAGGAUAGUGGACGUUACUCGCAGAAUAAGCACCGGCUAACUCUGUGCCAGCCGCCGCGGUAAGAC
rnacentral:rRNA from 1 species